AGGUAAGCUACUAAGAGCGAAUGGUGGAUGCCUUGACUGGUAAAGGCGAUGAAGGACGUACUAGACUGCGAUAAGCUACGGGGAGCUGUCAAGAAGCUUUGAUCCGUAGAUUUCCGAAUGGGGCAACCCAAUGUAUAGAGAUAUACAUUACCUAUAUAGGAGCGAACGAGGGGAAUUGAAACAUCUUAGUACCCUCAGGAAAAGAAAUCAAUAGAGAUUGCGUCAGUAGCGGCGAGCGAAAGCGCAAGAGGGCAAACCCAGUGCUUGCACUGGGGGUUGUAGGACUGCAAUGUGCAAGAGGUGAGUUUAGCAGAACAUUCUGGAAAGUAUAGCCAUAGAGGGUGAUAGUCCCGUAUGCGAAAAACAAACCUUAGCUAGCAGUAUCCUGAGUAGGGCGGGACACGAGGAAUCCUGUCUGAAUCCGGGUCGACCACGAUCCAACCCUAAAUACUAAUACCAGAUCGAUAGCGCACAAGUACCGUGAGGGAAAGGUGAAAAGAACUGAGGUGAUCAGAGUGAAAUAGAACCUGAAACCAUUUGCUUACAAUCAUUCAGAGCACUAUGUAGCAAUACAGUGUGAUGGACUGCCUUUUGCAUAAUGAGCCUGCGAGUUGUGGUGUCUGGCAAGGUUAAGCAAACGCGAAGCCGUAGCGAAAGCGAGUCUGAAUAGGGCGCUUAGUCAGAUGCUGCAGACCCGAAACGAAGUGAUCUAUCCAUGAGCAAGUUGAAGCUAGUGUAAGAACUAGUGGAGGACUGAACCCAUAGGCGUUGAAAAGCCCCGGGAUGACUUGUGGAUAGGGGUGAAAGGCCAAUCAAACUUCGUGAUAGCUGGUUCUCUCCGAAAUAUAUUUAGGUAUAGCGUUGUGUCGUAAUAUAAGGGGGUAGAGCACUGAAUGGGCUAGGGCAUACACCAAUGUACCAAACCCUAUCAAACUCCGAAUACCUUAUAUGUAAUCACAGCAGUCAGGCGGCGAGUGAUAAAAUCCGUCGUCAAGAGGGAAACAACCCAGACUACCAGCUAAGGUCCCUAAAUCUUACUUAAGUGGAAAACGAUGUGAAGUUACUUAAACAACCAGGAGGUUGGCUUAGAAGCAGCCAUCCUUUAAAGAAAGCGUAAUAGCUCACUGGUCUAGUGAUUUUGCGCGGAAAAUAUAACGGGGCUAAAGUAAGUACCGAAGCUGUAGACUUGCACACAACUUAGAUUAUUUAAGUUUAGAAUAUGAGAAGUUAAGUUAUAUUUUUACUGAUUUUUAUAGAGUAAAGUAUAGAAAUAAAACUUAGUAAAAUCAGUAAAAAUAUUCUUAGGCUAAAGUUAAGUAGUUUAAGUUGUGUGCAAGUGGUAGGAGAGCGUUCUAUUUGCGUCGAAGGUAUACCGGUAAGGAGUGCUGGAGCGAAUAGAAGUGAGCAUGCAGGCAUGAGUAGCGAUAAUUAAUGUGAGAAUCAUUAACGCCGUAAACCCAAGGUUUCCUACGCGAUGCUCGUCAUCGUAGGGUUAGUCGGGUCCUAAGUCGAGUCCGAAAGGGGUAGACGAUGGCAAAUUGGUUAAUAUUCCAAUACCAACAUUAGUGUGCGAUGGAAGGACGCUUAGGGCUAAGGGGGCUAGCGGAUGGAAGUGCUAGUCUAAGGUCGUAGGAGGUUAUACAGGCAAAUCCGUAUAACAUACUCCGAGAACUGAAAGGCUUUUUGAAGUCUUCGGAUGGAUAGAAGAACCCCUGAUGCCGUCGAGCCAAGAAAAGUUUCUAAGUUUAGCUAAUGUUGCCCGUACCGUAAACCGACACAGGUGGGUGGGAUGAGUAUUCUAAGGCGCGUGGAAGAACUCUCUUUAAGGAACUCUGCAAAAUAGCACCGUAUCUUCGGUAUAAGGUGUGGUUCACUUCGUACUAGGAUUUACUCCGAAAGCGAAGAAACUUACAACAAAGAGUCCCUCCCGACUGUUUACCAAAAACACAGCACUCUGCUAACUCGUAAGAGGAUGUAUAGGGUGUGACGCCUGCCCGGUGCUCGAAGGUUAAUUGAUGGGGUUAGCAUUAGCGAAGCUCUUGAUCGAAGCCCGAGUAAACGGCGGCCGUAACUAUAACGGUCCUAAGGUAGCGAAAUUCCUUGUCGGUUAAAUACCGACCUGCAUGAAUGGCGUAACGAGAUGGGAGCUGUCUCAAAGAGGGAUCCAGUGAAAUUGUAGUGGAGGUGAAAAUUCCUCCUACCCGCGGCAAGACGGAAAGACCCCGUGGACCUUUACUAUAGCUUGACACUGCUAUUUGGAUAAGAAUGUGCAGGAUAGGUGGGAGGCUUUGAGUAUAUGACGCUAGUUGUAUAGGAGCCAUUGUUGAGAUACCACUCUUUCUUAUUUGGGUAGCUAACCAGCUUGAGUUAUCCUCAAGUGGGACAAUGUCUGGUGGGUAGUUUGACUGGGGCGGUCGCCUCCCAAAUAAUAACGGAGGCUUACAAAGGUUGGCUCAGAACGGUUGGAAAUCGUUCGUAGAGUAUAAAGGUAUAAGCCAGCUUAACUGCAAGACAUACAAGUCAAGCAGAGACGAAAGUCGGUCUUAGUGAUCCGGUGGUUCUGUGUGGAAGGGCCAUCGCUCAAAGGAUAAAAGGUACCCCGGGGAUAACAGGCUGAUCUCCCCCAAGAGCUCACAUCGACGGGGAGGUUUGGCACCUCGAUGUCGGCUCAUCGCAUCCUGGGGCUGGAGCAGGUCCCAAGGGUAUGGCUGUUCGCCAUUUAAAGCGGUACGCGAGCUGGGUUCAGAACGUCGUGAGACAGUUCGGUCCCUAUCUGCCGUGGGCGUAAGAAGAUUGAAGAGAUUUGACCCUAGUACGAGAGGACCGGGUUGAACAAACCACUGGUGUAGCUGUUGUUCUGCCAAGAGCAUCGCAGCGUAGCUAAGUUUGGAAAGGAUAAACGCUGAAAGCAUCUAAGCGUGAAGCCAACUCUAAGAUGAAUCUUCUCUAAGCUCUCUAGAAGACUACUAGUUUGAUAGGCUGGGUGUGUAAUGGAUGAAAGUCUUUUAGCUGACCAGUACUAAUAGAGCGUUUGGCUUAUCUUU
rnacentral:rRNA from 1 species